ensembl:lncRNA
AGUUAUUUUGCUAUUGCUGGGUGGAGAAAAUCCGGUGUGUGCCCUGUUGCUAAAAGCAUGUCUUUAAUCAUGCGUUGGAACACGGAAAGAAAACUUCUUCCUGGCACUUGUCUGGAAAGAGAAGGCAUCGGUGAUCGUGAUUGUUUCCAAAAUACAACACAGAGUGGGAGAGGGGCUCAGCCUCAGGGAGCACAGUAGCAUCCUCUGGGCUUUGGAAGCUCUCACUUCUUGCAUUAAGGGCAGAGUUUCUGAGCACUGGAGAGCAGCCCAGCGUGGUUCCUGCUGGGCAUCGCUCCACUCCAGCUGUGGGAAGGCAAAACUCCACCUCUGUGGAUGACAGCACUCCCCACAGUGUUACAAAGUCUACCCUGCCUGCUGGGGUCAUGAGGCUGGGAGUGUUGGAAGCAGUACUGACUAGGCAGUAGCUAUGGGCUGACGAAGAUUCACAUCUUGGCUGUCAGGUCAGAGAGAACCCUCUGGAACUCAUGCUCAGAGAAGGAAGAGACAGUGAACAACUUAUUUUUCUUCUUUUUGGUUUGAUAACACAUUGCCAUUAGGUGUUAUCUUUCUUGAAGUCAGUCAUGUUGCAGCCAUAUGUCUGCAAUAUUGCAGAUUCUUUUUCCCCCCACACUUUCCAGCCUCUAGCUGUUUUGAAGCAUCAGUGCCAUUUCCUCCUGUUCUCCUAUCCACUUCUUAUCAAGACAGACCAAAUCUGGAAUUCAUGUUCAUGAGAAUUUGCCACCUCACACACAUUUUCACUCUGAUGAUAUGCUAAUAAUUGAGCCAACCUUCCACGAAAGACACCAUUUUGUAUGCAUUCUGAGGCAUAAUUCACGGCACCGCAGCCCCAAAGAUGAUUCAGUGCUUCUGGGAAAUAAAUGGCAGUGUUUAAAAAACUGUUUCUGACUUGUUGAGAAAUAAAUCCAAGCCCUGAAAUUCCUUUGCGUCAUACUGCACAAAAGGAGCCAUUAUAUUAAUAGUAUGACUGCAGGUCCAGGUGAAAGGAGUAAAAAGAAAGACAGAUUGUUGGAAGAAAGGUCUGUCUAACAUGUACACAUGCUGAGUCCCACGCCUACCGGCACAGGGGGAGGUGACAAGGAAAGAGCACAUACUUUUCAAGGCAGGCAGAAAAUUGGGAAAAGUGAUCUGUGUGAAGCAAGCAAGAACAAGGGAGAAUGAGGGAAGAGAAGGAAAGAACUGAAAAAGUGCAAAAAGAAAGGAGGGAAGGAAGGAUACCCCUGUAUGUCACAUCCACCGUGUCCCAGUUGGGCUCUGGCACCUCUACAGUGACCAGAUGUGAUGAGAUGGCUCAGGCCAGCAAGGAUUGCUUUGAGAAACUCUGGAAGGAAAGAGAAGACACUUGGAGGAAUGUAUCAUGGAACUGAUUUACAUUAAAAACUAUUACUCACACAUUUCUCCAUUUUCUGCUAGCUUAGCUUCAUCCUGGGUAAUCAGUUCACUGCAUCAGGAGUAAGAAGGCUGCCUAAAUGGGUCUUCCUACAUGGCUACUGAAAAGAUAAGCAGAAAAAACUAAACUACUGCCAUCUUCAGGGGAAAAGGGAUCUGAGAUGAAAACUGCUCAUGUAAAGUAGCCUCUCCCAGAAGCUGCCCCAUUUUUCUACAGCAACAUGACCAGUAUUGACUGCUUUCUAGGAUUCCUCCACCUUUAUAGCUUAUCUCUGUCCCUGCUGUAUCGUGUUCAAACUGUACAGACCCAGCUCAAUCCAAUUCCUGGCCAGUUUAAUGAUGAGCUUCAAAAUUAAGCUUACUUUUCUGAGAUGAUCUGAGAAUAGCAUUUAAGGCUAAUUGAGAAUUUUUUUUACACAUCGUUUAAAGAUAUUGAUUCUUUAACAAAUAAAAAAGGCAAAACUAGUAUAGAGGAAAAGGCUGUAUGAAUGUUUUCUCAGGGGGAAAGUAAACAAAUGGAAAAUUAAAAUAUAUAUAUUUUAAAUACUUAUCUUUUAAAAAGAAUUGUUGAAUCAUAUGAAAUUAUCCCCUUUUGGAUAGCUAUUAGCAUUGCUAUGCAUCCUAAUAUACAAGAGAAACACUGAGUAUUCCAGUGCUGAAUUCCUAUCUCGUAUGCUUUACUAUUCUCUCUCCAGCAUUAGUAUUUUGGAAUUUACCUCACUUACCCUUCCACACACUUAUGCAGUGCUGACUGAUGCUAAUAAAAGUCACAUCUACAUGUGCAGAUUAGAACUCGGUUAUCUAAAGAGUUCAAUUUGAGCAUGAAAUACAGGCAGAGCAAAUAUGGGAUACAUAAGGGAUUUUGAGACUUUGUUAAAAGUAAGGAAAUGGUAUUGGGAUUUUGUUAAAUGAUAGGCAAGGAAAUCUUCCAGCUAUCACAAAGUGAUGUCAGAAUGAUAUUGCUGUGAACUGGGAGCACAGUAGGAUUUUCUUGCAGGUUGUCAGAGGAGGCCGGGGGAAGGGCUGCUCCCU